AACGGCCGCGGUAUCCUAACCGUGCAAAGGUAGCAUAAUCACUUGCCUAUUAAUUGUAGGCUAGAAUGAAUGGGUUAACGAAAUAAAGACUGUCUCAAUUAAUCAUCUAAAAAUUACUAUCUAUCUGAAGAAGGGUAGAUAAUCUCGAAGGACAAGAAGACCCUAUAGAGCUUAAUUUUAAUUAUAGAGCUACACUAUAAAAAUAUUCGGUUGGGGCGACCCAGGGCUAAUCAAUCACCCACUACAUAAAAGAUAUAUUAAUCAAGUAAUUGACCCCCAAAAGAUCAUAAGAACAAGCUACCUUAGGGAUAACAGGCUAAUCCCACUCAAGAGUCCUUAUCAACAGUGGGGUUUGGCACCUCGAUGUUGGCUUAGG
rnacentral:rRNA from 1 species